UCUUGGAACGCUGCCUAACCUACGUAUACUAUCAGUAACAUGCUCCAAUCCGAAGCGUGUAAAAGUAUUCAUACUCUAAAACUUGAAACUAAAUCAUCUUUCUUGCUUUCCUUGUAUAUAUUCACAGUGAUCUCCGAGAUAAUAAUUUUUCUGGCUAUGUUCCACGAACAAUAACUGAUAACAAGCAACUCGAAUUCAAGAUUGAUGGGAAUAAGAAUAUCAAGUACCC